AUCCUAGGUUUGGCAGUGUUAGAGGUCUCUUCAGCCGACGUUCAAUAAAGACAGGGGAAGAAAUAACAGUUGAUUACGGGUAUAAAUUAUAUAGCGAGGACACGCCUUCCUGGUAUAAAGAACUUUAUAAACAAACCUUUUUGUAAAAAAAAUAAAAGAAAGAAGAAAAAAAAAUCAUUAUUAUAUCUUCUUUUUCAAUUUUAAUCCGAUAGUUUUGCAUAAACUCCAAGGGCGUAUACAGAAAUAAAUCUAGGGGGGGGCAAGAUUUGCGCGAAGCGAAAAAAUUU